rnacentral:tRNA from 1 species
GGCCCUAUCGUCUAAUGGCUAGGACAGCUCCCUUUCAAGGAGCAAAUCGGAGUUCGAUCCUCCGUAGGGCUA